UUCUGUUAGAGAAAUUCUGCAGAUAUUGUUCUGUUUGCUAAUGAUAUUUGGGUAAUUUUCUACAGAAGUAGUUAGGAUUUGCAUUGCCUUCGUUAUUAGUGUCGAGGGCAACUGAGAAUGUCACGAACGCAGGUAAGUGUAACAAGACAGGGCAAACGAGAAGCUUGCUUUUGGGGAUGAAAAAGCUUUUUGAAGAUUUGUAAAAGACUUGGUGGUUAGAUUUUGUAUACUCUAUCAUCUGUUUCUCAAUAUGUAUGGUAGAACACAAGACCUGGAUAAUGCCAAAGUUUUCUCUCAUGUAUUUAUCUUAAGAAAAAUCCUCACAAGAUCCAGGCUACUUAAUAUUUGGCAUCAAACCCUACUAGUCCUUGAAGAAAACGCAUCUUAGCUUCUCCUACUGUAGACCACUCACAAUUAACAAACCUGUGUAGACUGCCACUAGCGCGUCCUUAUUUCGAGGCGUCUUUGAUUUAGAAACAUGAAUUAAUUAAGUCUCACUCAAAUUUGCAUGCAUACAAAUUUGACUAGUGAGAUUCAAAGCUCAAACCCGAUUUAUAGUUGUAUAGACUUUGAAUUUAAAUCAAAUGACCUGACACUUCAUUUUUUUAA